rnacentral:lncRNA from 1 species
GCAGGUUUUGAAGAUGGCCGGAGAUCGCCGUCCGCCUCAGCCCCUCGUGCAGGUCUCUCCUUCCCAUCGUGCAGGUCGCGGCCGCAACCCAUGCCUCUGGCGCUGGUCGGGGUAGCGCUCCAACUCGCUGCCGCCUGGAUCCGGCGAGGCCCGAGGCAUCCGCAGCCACCUGGACUCCCGGCGACGGGUCCGAUCCGGAAACCGCCCUGGCGUGCUCCCCGGCAACGGAUCCGGGUCGGCAACCACCCCCCUGCGUGGCCACGACCAACCUCCGCCGCAGGAUCCGUCCGUCGACAGGACCCCCAACGCAAGCCACUCCCCUGACGCCCCGAUCCAAGCGCCGCCGAGCCUCCCAGGUGACAUCUGGCCGCAUCCUCCCCCACGAGCCUCCUCCUAAUCCCGCGCUGUUCACCCAGAUGGAGCUGCCUCGAUGCGUCGAGCAUGCCUCUCCCCCUCGCUCAACCUCAACGAGGGGCUCCUCCCAAGGCCCCAGUGCCCCGGUGCAACCUAUCUAGGCCAUUACGCCACCACCGUGGCCUACACCAGCCAUGGCCACUGCGACUUGCUGCCUCUGCCGCCGCAUCCCGCACUGGAUCCGCGAGAACAAAGGUCUUCACCGCCCCGACCGCAUCGAAUCAGCAAACUGCACACCCGAAUCCGCUCUGGAUUGAUUGCGCGCGUGCUCCCACGUUCCUCUGCUCACCUUGCAGUUCGCGGUACGUUCCUGUGUAGUUUGCCCGUCGCCCUGGUCCUCUCAGCUCCUGCACUGCCUGCUGUCGAUCGUGGCGUCUCCCCUCCUGCUCCGCUGUGCAGUUUUCCGCGUGGGGCAUUGCAGUGCGUGCGUGUCGUGGGUUCCUGAUUACCUUUUUGUGUGUUUUCAGAUUUUUGUUGUUGAUUUUAGUGAAAUCAGUGCAGUAAAAUCUCUAAUGCAGUUUAAUAAACUCUCUAUGCAGUUCGUCGGACGUUUUUGUGUGGCUCGCACUGCAGUUCAUUCUUUGUUUUUCCUAAUGCAAAUCCAUGCCGAAGGGUUCGCGGAUCACUUCAGUAAAAAAACGUUCUCGGAGUUCAGCGGAUGACAUGUUGCCUUGCUGGUCAUUAUGUGAGAAGAAAAACAAAACAACGAAUGUGGUCCACGUCCUCAAAUUGUAAUUUGGUUGGCUGGUGGUGCUGACAUUUUUAUCUGACUAGUGCUAAUUUUCUGUGUAUGUAUGUGUGUGGCUGUGUAAAACAACAGAUGGAUGUAUUGUGUCCAUGAGCAUCGUCAGCGGCCAUAGACAGUGGGGCAAAAACAUAAAGUGUGCGUGCAGCUUGGUUAGCUCGGCCAUGGAGUACUUUAUUUUUGUUAUGUGUGGUUCACUUGUUUGCUAAAAAAUACAAAAGAAUAUUGGUGGGAGCUAAUAUUCUUUGGAUGCAAUGUAAUUUUAGAUGCA